GGAGGAAGAACCAACAGGGAUUGCCCCAGUAACGGCGAGUGAAGCGGCAACAGCUCAAAUUUGAAAUCCGGCCCCCCGGGCCCGAGUUGUAAUUUGCAGAGGACGCUCCCGGCGCGGCGCCUUCCGAGUUCCCUGGAACGGGACGCCACAGAGGGUGAGAGCCCCGUCCGGUCGGACGCCAAGCCUCCGUGGAGCUCCUUCGACGAGUCGAGUAGUUUGGGAAUGCUGCUCAAAAUGGGAGGUAUAUGUCUUCUAAAGCUAAAUACCGGCCAGAGACCGAUAGCGCACAAGUAGAGUGAUCGAAAGAUGAAAAGCACUUUGAAAAGAGGGUUAAACAGUACGUGAAAUUGUUGAAAGGGAAGCGCUCGCGGCCAGACUCGGGCCCGGCGGAUCAUCCGGCGUUCUCGCCGGUGCGCUCCGCCGGGCCCGGGCCAGCAUCGGUCCGCGGCGGGGGACAAAGGCUCCGGGAACGUGGCCCCCACGGGGGUGUUAUAGCCCGCUGCGCAAUGCCCCGCGGCGGACCGAGGUACGCGCCCCGCAAGGAUGCUGGCGUAAUGGCCUCCAGCGACCCGUCUUGAAACACGGACCAAGGAGUCGUCUUCGUAUGCGAGUGUUCGGGUGUCAAACCCCUACGCGCAAUGAAAGUGAACGCUGGUGAGAGCCUCGGCGCAUCACCGACCGAUCCUGAUGUUCUCGGAUGGAUUUGAGUAAGAGCAUACGGGGCCGGACCCGAAAGAAGGUGAACUAUGCCUGUGUAGGGUGAAGCCAGAGGAAACUCUGGUGGAGGCUCGCAGCGGUUCUGACGUGCAAAUCGAUCGUCAAACAUGGGCAUGGGGGCGAAAGACUAAUCGAACCU
rnacentral:rRNA from 1 species